UUAUGCCUAAAUAUAUUAUAUCAAAAGAAUUUGAUGCAUUAGAAAUGGAAUUCAAACUAACAGAAAAGGGGGGUUGAGAUCUUUUACCAUGCCAAGAAAACCUUAGCAGUCUGUCCGGAGAGCGAACUCAAUAAAAGCCGAAUUAACGUUAAUCUGUGAAACUCCCCAGAGAGAUGUUGGCGAGGCAAUUAAUGUCAGCAGUUUUGAGGGAGGGAUCUUAAGUUUUACUGGGUUUAAAACAUAGGUACAAAACUAAUUAUUUGGAAGCCUUUGUACCCCUUCUUUUUUUCUUUUCUUUUUUUUUUGGGGGGGGGGUCAUAUUUAUCAAAUACUGUAAGAAAAAAAGUAAGUUAAAGAAAAACAAAAUUAUUAAUUAUAGUAAACUAAUUUGUCAGUAGAAAUAAGCUGUCUUUCAAUUUUUUACGUAAUUCCAUAUAGUUUUUUUUCCUGAGCAUAAAUUAACGUCGGGUACGAUGAACAUGGUAGUUUUGGAAGUAGCGCGCGUCGAAUUAUGGGAAAAAGGGGUACCAGAUUCCCGGAAGUUGACAUCAUUUCCUGGUUAAACAAGAGGGAGAGGAGUACUAAAUGGGUAGAGGUAUCACACCGGUAAUUAACCAAUCAAAAUGAACUUAGUCAAAUAUAAAGGUUUUCGACAGGAACUAUUUUUUUCCCGGGAAUAGGAGGCUACUUCCUGCGGUACACUCGGAAUGUUUAUAGACACAUUGAAAACACGUGGAUUUGAGGGUAGCCCUGUUUACAGAUAGAAAAAGUCAGAAAAUGCCGU